rnacentral:rRNA from 1 species
GAUGAACGCUAGCGGCAGGCCUAAUACAUGCAAGUCGUACGGUAACAGGCCUUUCGGGGCGCUGACGAGUGGCGCACGGGUGCGUAACGCGUAUGCAACCUGCCCGCAACAGGGGCAUAGCCCGGGGAAACCCGGAUUAAUACCCCAUAAAGCAGGGACACCGCAUGGUGAUAUUUGCUAAAGAUUUAUCGGUUGCGGAUGGGCAUGCGUCCAAUUAGCUAGAUGGCGGGGUAACGGCCCACCAUGGCGAUGAUUGGUAGGGGGCCUGAGAGGGUUGUCCCCCACACUGGUACUGAGACACGGACCAGACUCCUACGGGAGGCAGCAGUAGGGAAUAUUGGGCAAUGGAGGAAACUCUGACCCAGCCAUGCCG